GUCAAUAAAACACGGGGAGAUAGUUGUGAAGAGUGUUUUUAGGUUGUAUCGGUAGGGGCUUGCUUUUACCGACAGCACGUUUUAUCUCACAUCCCUAAAAAAUCAUACCUAAAAACAGACAAAAAGGUUUCAAAUUUGAGGCCUUUUUUGG
rnacentral:sRNA from 1 species